CUGACUGCUAUCGGAUGAUACUAAGCCAUGCGAGUCUUGCAGUAAUGCAAGGCAGACGGCUCAGUAACACGUAGUCAACCUACCCUAUGGACGAGAAUAAUCUCGGGAAACUGAGCAUAAUUCUUGAUAGAUCAUAAUGCCUGGAAUGGUUUAUGGUUAAAAUGAUUCGUCGCCAUAGGAUGGGACUGCGGCCUAUCAGCUUGUUGGUGAGGUAAUGGCCCACCAAGGCGAUUACAGGUACGGGCUCUGAGAGGAGAAGCCCGGAGAUGGGUACUGAGACACGGACCCAGGCCCUAUGGGGCGCAGCAGGCGAGAAAACUUUGCAAUGUGCGAAAGCACGACAAGGUUAAUCCGAGUGAUUUCUGCUAAAGAAAUCUUUUGCCAGUCGUAAAACCGCUGGUGAAUAAGGGGUGGGCAAGUUCUGGUGUCAGCCGCCGCGGUAAAACCAGCACCUCAAGUGGUCAGGAGGAUUAUUGGGCCUAAAGCAUCCGUAGCCGGCUCUGUAAGUUUUCGGUUAAAUCCAUGUGCUCAACGCAUGGGCUGCCGAAAAUACUGCAUAGCUAGGGAGUGGGAGAGGUAGACGGUACUCAGUAGGAAGGGGUAAAAUCCUUUGAUCUAUUGAUGACCACCUGUGGCGAAGGCGGUCUACCAGAACACGUUCGACGGUGAGGGAUGAAAGCUGGGGGAGCAAACCGGAUUAGAUACCCGGGUAGUCCCAGCUGUAAACGAUGCAGACUCGAUGAUGCAUUGGCAUAUAGCCAGUGCAGUGUCGCAGGGAAGCCGUUAAGUCUGCCGCCUGGGAAGUACGUACGCAAGUAUGAAACUUAAAGGAUUGGCGGGGAGCACACAAGGGGUGAAGCCUGCGGUUCA
rnacentral:rRNA from 1 species